rnacentral:rRNA from 1 species
AACAGGCUUAUCUCCCCCAAGAGUCCACAUCGACGGGGAGGUUUGGCACCUCGAUGUCGGCUCAUCACAUCCUGGGGCUGUAGUAGGUCCCAAGGGUUGGGCUGUUCGCCCAUUAAAGUGGUACGCGAGCUGGGUUCAGAACGUCGUGAGACAGUUCGGUCCCUAUCCGUCGCAGGCGUAGGAAAUUUGAGAAGACCUGUCCUUAGUACGAGAGGACCGGGAUGGACGUACCUCUGGUGUACCAGUUGUCCUGCCAAGGGCAUGGCUGGGUAGCUAUGUACGGAAUGGAUAAGCGCUGAAAGCAUCUAAGCGCGAAGCCAACUUCAAGAUAAGAUUUCCCACCGCAAGGGUAAGACCCCAGAAAGACUAUCUGGUUGAUAGGUCGAAGGUGUAAGUGUAGCAAUGUAUUUAGCUUAUCGAUACUAAUAGGUCGAGGACUUGACCAAU